rnacentral:rRNA from 1 species
UACGUAGGGGGCGAGCGUUGUCCGGAUUUAUUGGGCGUAAAGAGCGUGUAGGCGGCCGGGUAAGUCCGGUGUGAAAACUCGAGGCUUAACCUCGAGAUGUCAUCGGAAACUAUUCGGCUAGAGUCCGGAAGAGGAGAGUGGAAUUCCUGGUGUAGCGGUGAAAUGCGCAGAUAUCAGGAAGAACACCUAUGGCGAAAGCAGCUCUCUGGGACGGUACUGACGCUGAGACGCGAAAGCGUGGGGAGCGAACAGG